rnacentral:rRNA from 1 species
UACAGAGGUCCCAAGCGUUGUUCGGAUUCACUGGGCGUAAAGAGCGUGUAGGCGGCCAGGUAGGUCUGGUGUGAAAACUCGAGGCUUAACCUCGAGAUGUCAUCGGAAACCAUCUGGCUAGAGUCCGGAAGAGGAGAGUGGAAUUCCUGGUGUAGCGGUGAAAUUCGUAGAUAUCGGGAGGAACACCGGUGGCGAAGGCGGCGACCUGGGUCGAGACUGACGCUGAGGCGCGAAAGCGUGGGGGAGCAAACAGG